rnacentral:sRNA from 1 species
GCUGGGUGAGGUGGCGCGCUUCUGUAAUCCUAGUGGUUGGGAGGCUGGGGCAGGAGGAUCAUGAGUUCAAAGUCAGCCUCACAAAAGCAAGGCGCCUAAGCAACUCAGUGAGACUCUGUCUUUA